CCCUGAGUGGCUCAAACUGUAAAGAAUCUGCCUGCAAUGCAGGAGACCUGGGUUUCAUCCCUGGCUCGGGAA
rnacentral:tRNA from 1 species